rnacentral:rRNA from 1 species
AACGAACGCUGGCGGCAUGCCUAACACAUGCAAGUCGAACGAGAUCUUCGGGUCUAGUGGCGCACGGGUGCGUAACGCGUGGGGAUCUGCCCUUUGGUUCGGAAUAACAGUUGGAAACGACUGCUAAUACCGGAUGAUGACGAAAGUCCAAAGAUUUAUCGCCAGAGGAUGAGCCCGCGUAGGAUUAGCUAGUUGGUGUGGUAAAGGCGCACCAAGGCGACGAUCCUUAGCUGGUCUGAGAGGAUGAUUAGCCACACUGGGACUGAGACACGGCCCAGACUCCUACGGGAGGCAGCAGUGGGGAAUAUUGGACAAUGGGCGAAAGCCUGAUCCAGCAAUGCCGCGUGAGUGAUGAAGGCCUUAGGGUUGUAAAGCUCUUUUACCCGGGAUGAUAAUGACAGUACCGGGAGAAUAAGCUCCGGCUAACUCCGUGCCAGCCGCCGCCGUAA